GCCAGUAGAAAUUUAAUUUCUAUAUCUAUGUUGGUGUAGGAUAAUUAUAACUUCCAUUUUAAUAAUGACCUGUGUUCAAUUUAUUUUGGAAAUAAAAUUAUUGCACGUGCCUAUUUGAUAGAUGGUCUUUAUCAUUUGCAUAUGGAUGCGAGUAUAAAUGUUAACAAGCAAGUUAAGAGUGCCGUAGGGUCUAAGAGACUUAAAGAUAGGAUUAGCCAAAAGUAUCUAUGGCACCUUAGGCUAGGCCAUAUUAGAGAGG
rnacentral:lncRNA from 1 species